rnacentral:tRNA from 1 species
CCUGGUGGCUCAGAUGGUAAAGAAUCUGCCUGCAAUGCAGAAGACCCAGGUUCGAUCCCUGGGUCAGGA